rnacentral:lncRNA from 1 species
GUCUACAUUUCAUCAGUCUGUGUUUAUAACAGGGUCUACAUUUCAUCAGUCUGUGUUUAUAACAGGGUCUACAUUUCAUCAGUCUGUUAUAACAGGGUCUACAUUUCAUCAGUCUGUGUUUAUAACAGGUCUACAUUUCAUCAGUCUGUGUUUAUAACAGGGUCUACAUUUCAUCAGUCUGUGUUUAUAACAGGUCUACAUUUCAUCAGUCUGUUAUAACAGGUCUACAUUUCAUCAGUCUGUGUUUAUAACAGGGUCUACAUUUCAUCAGUCUGUGUUUAUAACAGGUCUACAUUUCAUCAGUCUGUGUUUAUAACAGGGUCUACAUUUCAUCAGUCUGUGUUUAUAACAGGGUCUACAUAUCAUCAGUCUGUGUUUAUAACAGGGUCUACAUAUCAUCAGUCUGUGUUUAUAACAGGGUCUACAUUUCAUCAGUCUGUGUUUAUAACAGGGUCUACAUUUCAUCAGUCUGUGUUUAUAACAGGUCUACAUUUCAUCAGUCUGUGUUUAUAACAGGUCUACAUUUCAUCAGUCUUUUGUUGCAGGACAUCUUCACCAUGGGUUCAAUCUGAAAUGAGUUAUUUCACAGAGUUACUCUUUAGGAGGUCCGUUACAUAUGAUAUGUCAGAUUUCUGAAAAAGUCAAUUUACUUUAAAUAAUCAGAACAUUAUAUCUGUAUCAACCACCUUUUAACUUGGCGCUAGAACGUUCUGUCCGUAUCAACCACCUUUUAACUUGGCGCUAGAACGUUCUGUCUGUAUCAACCACCUUUUAACUUGGUGCUACUUUCUGUUGAGAAGCAAUUGCUUGCUAUGAUUAAGGUUGGGUUAGGGAUCGCUGAAACGGCAUCGUGGACUAACGGCUCUCUCCAAUCUGGAUCGCUGAAACAGCAUCACGGCUCUCUCCAAUCUCGAUCGCUGAAGCAAUAUAAUUUUUUUUGAGACAACAUGUGAAUGCAGUUUCUAUCAGGCUGUAAUGCUGAAUUUCAGCAAUACAGAUUGGAUAGAACCAGUAAUGUUCAAAGUCUGUUGCUGUACCAUUAC